UGUCAAAGAAGGACUGCGGCGAACGAAUCUUGUUGUGCAACAGAGCUGCAUGCAGCAGGCGGGCAGCCUGGACACUGCCGACCACCAUGGUGAAGGCUGACAGCAUCACCAGGAGCCCUUGUUAGGAGAGGGAUCCGACCACCAUCUCCAGCCCAUGCCCACUCGACUCACGUUGCCUGUCUCGGCCGUCUCCUCUGUGAUUAGUGCGCCAGUCUUCUUGGCCUUCAUCACCUGCAUCUCCUUCUCUGAUGGAUUCGUGUGUCUCUUGGGCACAGGCCGGUUCUGGGUCUCCCCUUCUGAAGACAUGGAGCUCAUCUGUCUGUGGAAGCAGCUGGUCAGACCCAGGCCUUUGUCGUGACCCCGGGGCAUUCUCUGGUCCCUGUCUGUUCAUGAGUCACUCUCCCUGGAAUAGAGCUGUUUCCUGGCACAGAGCUGGACAUGAUGGGACAUGAACUUGCAACCUGUGUCGUCGGACUCAGAAGUACAGCUCCGGGGCUGGAGAGAUGGCUCAGCUCCAUCUUCAGUGUCAACACCAUCAACCUCACCAGCACCAUGAAGUAAGAACAUCUUGAGUCCUUGCUCUACCUGUCUCUGGACUGCCACAGUUACUCUGGGCCUUGGCCUUUCUGCUGUGAAGUAAGACAGUCACUACAGUGAUGGGGAUGGAGGAGUUAAGGUUUGUACAGGGGCUGUGGCCAUCCACAUGCAGUGCAGGGAGUGGAGAGGUCCUGAGAACAGAAGAUGAACACUGGCCCCAGUGCCAUCCCCAGACUGGUGUU